UAGUAGAUUGCGACGGGUACGUCCUUGAUCUCUGAAGAAAGGCAGCACGUACACAAGGGGAAGAAACAGGAACAUGGGAUUGAAACCACAAUGAGAUCAGCCAUGAUCUAAGUGAGUGGCAGAGCACAUUUGCAAGGCUGAACAGCCUACUCCUGCUGUCCAACGACCCUUCCUCAGAACUGGAAUGAAUGAAUGGAUGAUGGACCCUAGGAUCCAGCGGAGCCACAGCUGUGGGAGAAACCGCAGCCGGCAGUUUCAAGAGGCAAGAGCAUGACAGAAAGCAAGAGAUGUCUGGAUUAAAGUGGUUUCAUUUCAACGCAAUAGGUCUGACAGCCAGGUCGCAGCCUCGUGGAUCCAGAGCCUCGGGUCGCAGCGGUCUUCGCGGCUGCCAAAAUCCACUGACCCCCGGGGACAAGCAGGAGCCCUACAAGGGCCGCGGCGCAGGUACCGGAGCUCUUACUGGGCCAUCAGGUAGAGGAGAGGAAGGUGCUUCCCUCACAUUCCCAGGUUUUACCAGAUGAGGAAGGACACCACUUUGAUUGGGACAACACAUCCAUCCUAGGACAAGCCAAACAGAGACACGCACGAGAAUUCCUAGAAGCAUGACAUUCCAACCGGAACUCCAUCAACAAACACAUUGAUUUGGAGCCAAUCUACUAUCCCCUGAGAAAAAGAACAGGAAAUGCCAUCACCAACACAGGAAAUGACAUCACCAACCCAAGGAAACCUAACCGGAUAAAAUAGAAAGCGGGACAUAACACCAGCGCUUCAUCGGAGGCUCACUGAUGAUGUUACCUAGAAUGGUGACGAAACGUCUGAAAACUAACCUUCCAGCUCAGCGAGCAAACUUACAUCCAGAACUUGUGUCCAUUUUCAAUCCAGUCCCAUUUUUCCUCUUGGGAACACUCACUCUGCAUUGUUUGCAGAUCAUGAUUUGUUGUCCCAGUGUCGAGGUGGCAGGCAUGUACUUGAGGCUCUUGGCAGGACUGAUUGGAAGCAGCUCUUUUGGCUGCCUGAUCUGCCAGGGCAUUGCCCUCAGCUUCCACGGUGCUGUUUUUGGUAUGUGCUUUACAUUUUAAUAUGGCCACUUUCCUGGGUAGCUGGAGAGCUUCCAGCAGGCCCUGACUUCAGGUCUGUUCCUGAUGGGGACCCUGUAGCAUUUAGGCGUGUGCGCUGCUUCCAUCGCUGGCCAAAGUUGAGGGCAACUCCAAAAGCAUAGCGGGGGUCUGUGUAGAUGUCAGCAGAUUGAAGCCUGCAAAGUAGCACAGGAUCAGAUAAGGCCCGUAACUCUGCUUACUGCGCUGCGGGGUAGGUUACCCAAUGCUAUGACAGUGAGGAGUGUUGAAACAGCCCAUCCAGCUUUCCUUAUACCCUUCUCCACAAACAAAGAUCAGUAUAAAGGACGAGAUCUGGGUUUUGUAGAGUUUCAUCCAUCAUUUGGCUAUUGUCUUCCAAUUCCUGCAUGAUGGCAGUGCGGUCAGGGCCAUUUUCCUCUUCUCAUGUCGGUAAAGGCGUGAGUGUGGCUGGGUUGACUGGACUUGCAUGAAUUACGUGUAGAUUCAGGCUUCCAGGACAGCUGUCGACUGGUUCCACUGAGCAGGAUUCACUUGUCAUACUCUGUUCAGAGAUAGCAAAGUGUGCACAGCAUGUGGACAUUUAGCCGUUAAUUUCUGCUCCAAUCCCAGAUUUGCAGCAACUUCUACUGCCAUACACGUAGCUUGUACUGAUCUGAAAACAGCUCCCCUGUCCAAGGCCUACAUUGUCCAAAUUCCCAGAGUAGUAUUCCACUGUGUUCCCCCAUGUCCCUGGGCCAAUACUGCUGUCAUAUAUCCCUUCUUCUCAUGCACAAACGUGAAGGAUUUUCCCUUAUUCGGCAUCCCUAAUGCUUGUACCAAACAGCGCUUUUUUCAGGUCUUGGAAGGCUUCUUCCUGUUCCCUUGUUAUUGCUGUCUGUUUGAGUCUUGUUUUCCCUUCAGGAUGCCUGUUAGGGGCUGAGCCAGUUGGGUGUGUGAGUCAACCCAGCACCGUUUGAAAUUACAUAGACCAUCAAAGGCUCUCAAUUGUGGAAUAGUUGUGGGUUGUUCAGCAGCUUGUGUGGCUAAGAGUUCAAUUCUAAGUGAUCUCCCUCUUCCUGUGGGAGAUUUUCUGCCCCAGGUAAACCACCUCUUUCAGGGCAAUCUGGGCCUUGUCAAUACCAACUUGGUGGCCUUUCUGCUGCAGGUGAUUUAGGAGAGCUUUAAGAUCUAAGAUCUGUCUUGUGUUGCUUUUCUGUUUCAGAAGCUGCCAGUAUGUCGUCCACAUACUGCAUGAUGACUGAUUCGGUUGGUAGCGUUUGACAGCAGUGAUUCUGUGAAGCCAUGUGAUACACAGUUGGGCUGUUGUGGAAUCCCUGUGGAGAUAGGUCCACGUCUAUUGUUGUUGCUAAAGAGUAAAGGCAAACCAUGACUGUUCUUCAGGUGCUCUGGGCACUGACCAGAAGCUGUUAUAGCCAUAUCUAUAACUGAAAACCACUUGCGUUCUGGUGUAAAGACACUAAAUAACGUAGAUGGGUCAGCUACCAGUGGGGCCUUUUGAUCAAAGCACUGGUUAACUUUUCCAUAGCCAAAGUCAGUCUUCAUUCCCCACGGGCCAUACUGGGCUGUUAGAGGUGCUGUGUACUUUUACAAGGACUCUCCUCUGUAUUGUUUCUUCCACUUUCUUUGAAUUAUUGAGGGGAUUCCUGUUAGUGACAUCAUGCUGAUGGGAUACUGUUCGAUGCAAGGCAGGGGGUAUCCCUGUAAAGCUCGCACGUUCCAUUUCUCGUAACUCACAAUAAAUCUUGUCUUUAGCCGAGAUGGGGCGGUCUUUUAAUUCUUCCCUGUGGAGUGUUCUGAUGGAAGAAUGAGGUGGCCUAUCAUUGAAAUGUAAGAACGGAUGUAAUCAAUGAAGGAUGUCCAUGUCGAACAGUGGCUGCGCUAAAGGCCCUCCCCAUACGCAGGUUAUCAAUUCUUGGGGGAAAAAAUGUGGUGUUUAUAGACUUGGGUUGUUGUUAAAAUUCAAUCCUGUCAGCUCCUGCUCCUUCAGCUGCCUUUACUGCCCUGUCUAGUGGGAGCUUGGCGUCAUACUUCCUGGGUAGGCAUGUCUGCUCCUGUAUCUAACAUGCAUGUGCCCUUUACCCAGCACUUAUUCAGCACUUAUUGGACCAGUGGCCCUUCCCCCCACCCCCCUCACAGAUAACAUUUUCCUGGGUGUCUGUCCUGGGUUUUUCCAGGGCUACUGGGUGUUUGUCCCACUGUCCUGUCUGUCGGACUCACACCUGAACCCCUGUAUCCCAAUCUAGCUGUUGGGCUCAGUCAACAGCUUAUAGUGUUUGGUUCCCCUUUGAUCCCAAUCUAUUUGUGAGUUUCAGCAUUUUGGCCAACUCCUGUUUACCUUUUCCUCAUAUUCAGGGGACUUCCUCAGAGACCUUUGACAAAGGUCACCUGUUGUCAAAUCGGUUUUAGGGGGACAAUAUACCUGUAGACACUGUUUUAUUGCUGUCCAGCCAGCUGACAGCUCCUGCUUAAAUUCCCAGAAGACGAGCACUGUCCCUUUUUGUCUGUCAAGAGUCCUUGUUCUCAAAUGGCGUUCUAAUGGCUACACACACAAGAUGAGAAGCAACUCAGCUGCCAAUUCACUGAUUCCAGACCCAGAAAAAUGUGAUUGACAUUUAACUGCCCACUGGAUAAUUAGGGGUGGGUAAUAAAUGCUCGCCUGGUCAGGCCAGGGUUCUGGGUAGACCACAUGGGAUGGAGACAAGGAGACAUUUCUUUACCCAAAAGAGUGGUAAACCUGUGGAAUUCAUUACCACAAGAAGUAGUUGAUGCCAAAACAUUGAAUGUAUUCAAGAGGUGACUAGAUACAGCACUUGGGGCUGAAUGAGAUCAAAGGUAAUGGGGAGAAAGCAGGAAUAGACUAUCCAGUUGGAUAAUCAACCAUGAUUGUGAUGAACAGCAGAGCAGACUAGAAGGACCGAAUGACUUCCGCCUAUCUUAUGAUUCCAUGACAUCUACAUCCCACGUAUGAGUUUUAAAGAUCCCAAAUGAAUGGCUACGUGAUCAAUUCUGCUUUACUGGCACCUGCAUCGUUGUUGCUCACUUCUCCUCUAUUCAGUCACUGGGACAUUAGACAGCAGGUACAACUGGGUCAUUGGUCAUCCAUUGGUGCUGGUGUUUUUGAAAGGUCAGGAGAUACAACUUCAAUAAACUAUACCGUCACAAUUUCCAGCAUUCUUACAGCUGAAAUAAUCACUGGGUAUUCAGUGAUAAAUCCUUCCAGACAUUUUGAUAGCCUUGCUGUGAUGACGAGAGUGAACAACACGCUUCUCUAUGUAGUGUUUUAAUUGUAUUUCUGUCCUUAAAAGUGUUGUCACACUGAUGCCUGAGAUGGGUCUCAGCAUCCAGUUCAGACAGAUUAGAGAGACUACUUUGCAUAAAGAUGGCAGAAAUGCCACUUUCCCCUGUACAUAGAAACAUACUCCACCAAGACCCUGGUGGCAUCACUGUGCCCAUUCUAUGCAGUAUAAGGCAGUCAGCUUCUCUAUGCUGUUCCUUUAGUUUGUUACCAGCUUAAAUCUGUCAAAGCGUAUUCGUGCAACGUGUUGCUGGCAAAUUCAAUACUUAGCAUUUGUUUGUAAUCUCCAAUUGUACUUGUGCUGCAUGACUUGUUAGGGGCCACGUCUGAGAUCAGACGAGAAUCAACCACCUUGCUGUGGAACACACAUUAGACCAGACAAAGUAAAAGUAAUAUCCCUAGAAGAGGGGUCAUUCAUAAACCAGAUUUUUUCUUCAUUAAAAAAAAGAGUUUUGAUUCAGGGCAUAACCAAUAAGAUGAGUUUUCAGUUUCCCUGUGCUUGUGACAAUAAAUAAAUGAAGCCAAU